rnacentral:rRNA from 1 species
AUUGAACGCUGGCGGCAGGCUUAACACAUGCAAGUCGAACGGUAACAGGAAACAGCUUGCUGUCUCGCGGACGAGUGGCGGACGGGGGAGUAAUGUCUGGGAAACUGCCUGAUGGAGGGGGAUAACUACUGGAAACGGUAGCUAAUACCGCAUAACGUCGCAAGAGCAAAGAGGGGGGCCAUCGGGCGCCUCGCGAUUGUAGGUGCCCAGAUGGGAGUAGCUCGGUGGUGGGGUGACGGCUCACCAAGGCGACGCUCCCUAGCUGGUCUGAGAGGGUGACCAGCCACGCUGGAACUGAGACACGGUCCAGACUCCUACGGGAGGCAGCAGUGGGGAAUAUUGCACAAUGGGCGCAAGCCUGAUGCAGCCAUGCCGCGUGUAUGAAGAAGGCCUUCGGGUUGUAAAGUACUUUCGGCGGGGAGGAAGGGAUUACAGUUAAUACCUUGCCUCAUUGACGUUACCCGCAGAAGAAGCACCGGCUAACUCCGUG